GCCCAUCCCCCAACCUGAGGAUGCGUCAGCAUUUCACAUUCUCUACAGUCUGAAAAUCUGGACAACCUCUGCCUAGGUCAUUACGGUUAACACGGGUUCAAAUUUAACUCACCUCACUUCAUACACCACAGUCCUCACCAGCAUAUGAACAUUGGCCAGUAGAGCUCAAGACUGGUUUGGAUGGGACUCUGAUAGGAUGUGGUCUCUUAUGUAGUCUCUUUCCUUGAGAUCGUAUGGAUGAACAACCGAGUGGAGCUAGCCCUGUUGGCUUGGGUGUGGGUGAGCCAGGCAUGAGGACUUGAGGACAGGAAAGUUGACCCUGCCUCCAGCUGAUGUUGGCAUUGGAGCAGGGCUGGAGCAGGGCUGGAGAUCUCAACCUGGUUGUGCAGAUAAGGGAGAGACAGCAUACUGACCAGCACAGCUGCCACCCAGGUCCACAUCCAGGGCUCUAAGAUGGCCCACUCCAAAAUCAUCUGUGACUGGUUGGGAUACGUGAAACUGUCAUUCCUGCUGUUCCAAAGCUGCAGGUUCUCCAUGACCCAGGGCAACAAAGGAUACCUGGGAGGAGUCCCAGUGAGGAUCCAAUAGAGAUGGUGUCACAGAAGCCAGAGACCAGCAGACCAAUGACUCACUGCAACGAACAUUUGCAAGUGAAGAUGUGUGGGCAGAGGGAUAGACUGGGACAUACUGUGGCACACUACAGCUUCCACGAUGAGGCGGCACAUCUUUCUGCGGCCUGGGACGUUCCUCCUAUCGGCUGUGAUCUUGAAACUCUUUCCCGGAGCUGCUCUGAUAUGACACUGACAGGUCUCUUCUGCACUCCAGUCAUCUGAGCCCAGAGAUCAACUGCUUUGGCAUGUUACCUCCUCCUGGCUGUCGAGGGCUGUGUUCUUCAUCCCGAAAAUGGCCCUGCUUAUUGAAAAACAAGGACCGACAAAGCACCCGAUAGCCCCGGCCUGUCUGGGCAUCAAAGAGCUCUGCUCAGAGCCACACUAGGCUCUUUAUGCAUUUGCCACUCCCUUUCAUCUGCUUCUCUUUCGCUCCCCCAUUUCUGUCCCUCUGUCCUUUUGCAAUUACAGGGAUUGUGCGGCGCUCAGGUAUCAGGUUCAGAUGCACACCUUACUUUGAAGCUGAGUAGUCUUUGAAAAUACCUAGGCAUGGAUGGUUUCCCUCUUCUCUCUGCUUUAUUUCAAGCUGUAUUAGGUUUGCUUCUUAAUGCAUUUUCCCCUAAUCUCCCAAUUAGAAUUGAUUCAUUGGCAAAAAUUUGGAAAAUACAGAGGAUUAGUGUGCGUGUUUGCACUAUACCAAGGGCACACCUUAUAUUGCUCCUCACGUAAGUGGAUCUUUGUCCUUAGAGGUCAUAUAACAUAAGGCGUUAUAAGAAGUCCCAUUUAGCGUUUUUACUCCCAUAUAUGUAUACUUUAUAUAUAGCGUACUAUAGUGAUGUUUUAAGGAUUAAUUGACUUGUUUUUUUUCCAUAUUCUCUUCUACUCUCAUUAUUUUCUCCCAUCUGCCUCAAGAGAUGGAAAGUGGGGGCUCUAUGUUUCAAGAGAAGCUAUUGUGGAUUCACGUGACAAAGGGUGCUGCACAAUGUUGUUUUUUAAUUCCAAAGGAUACUAUCCAAGGAGGGAGCUGAUGAAUUGGGGGAGAGUAGGCUAUCAAUUAAAUUCUCCAUAUACUUUCUACCUUUCCUAUCAGAUAUGACAAAAGUUAUAUCAGGAGAUAUAGCCAAAGAAAGACUCCAGUUCGAGCAACCAAGAACAAAAUACAUCAGACAAUAGCUGUCCUAAUAGACGUGAGGCGUGUCUCACUGGAGAAACUGUAACACUUCCCACAGGAACAAACCUGGAUAUUUUUAUACCCUUGAGCUGACCGCCACUGAGCAGUUGGCAAGACAAAGGGAGACCCAGGAUCAAGCUGGAAGCCCAUCCUACGGAUGCUGUCAAUUUCACCACAGUUGGUAGUUUCUUCCACCAGGAGUCACUUAGUGCCCCCGAGGUACUGGUUACCCACCAUGUACCAAAGAGGGUACUCGACGCCAGGGACAUGUGUUAAUGAAUCACUGUCCGUCCUGUCCAGCAGGGGGAGCCCGAGGACUAGAGGCGGUAACAGCCAAACCUACGCCUAAGACAACAUGGCAGGUGCUGCUGUGUUAUGGAGAACUACAAUAAAAGAAAGGGGACCCAUUUCUAAUCGCCUGGAAGAGAGCGCAGUAAGGCAGAGACAGCACCAGGAACAAGCCGGAGGCCGUAAUUGUUCAAGGGACAGUUGUC
rnacentral:lncRNA from 1 species